ensembl:lncRNA
ACGGCACGGGAUCAAAUAGGAAAGGAACCCGGGCAGGUUCUGCGCAGCCCGUGGGGAGGGCCGGGCGGUGACGGAAGAGACUGGCGGUGAUCCCAGCCGCUCUCCGGCCGGGACAGCACGGCUGGAAAGAAAGGAGGCAGCUCCGCUGCGGCGGCUCUCAGAGCGACAAAGGAUGGCGGUGCCGGAGCACCACGCGGGGCUGCUGCGCCACAGUGAGGGACGCAGCGGGGCACGGAUACGGAGAGAGCCGCCCCUACAGGAACACCGAGGCGGGCGGGCACGGAGCUGGCGGCCCGAGCGGGACGGAGCUCUGCGCUCUCCUGCUGGCAUCAGUGCAAGCCUACGGAGGCAAGGCUGUGCUCUUUGGACAACGUCCAACGCAAUGAUUUCAGCUCAGGGAAUUUCUCUUGAUGUGCACGUGCUGACCACGGCUGGAAUGGCGAGCAGCAGACGGAAGUUACUAUACGGACAGCAGACUGAAAAGUGAGAUGGAAGCAAACACUAUAUUCACUUCAGCAGCGACAGGAGGAGCUCAGCCUGCCCUCAUUCCGCACACCACAGCCCUGCUUUUCAUCUCUGGUGGCUACAAAACUGAGGCUAUCUGCACAGAGCAGUUGCCUCACUGUGUAGCUGGUAUGAAAGGAAGAAACACCAUUAACACAGAAUCAUAGUAUCCUCCAGGUCCUUACAUCCAAGCUCAUCCAUAAUGCAUGGCACUGAUUUUGCACUGCACUGGUAGAAACGCAAAAGAUGAGAAAACCCUGUGUACUCCUAAUAAAACAAAGGAAAUGAUGACUUCUCCUCAGCUUGAACACAGUAAGGGGCAUUGAAAACUUCGGGGAUCACGAAGGCGGUCUGGUAGAGGGCAGGGCGAUGCGUGGCACUCGCUGAGGAUGGAAGCAGUGGGUUCCUGGAUGUGGGCUCAAUUUGCAGCUGAGCCUGGGCAGGGUUUGUGCUGUGGCUGCAAAGUUGGAGUAAUGAGCAAAUGGGUUCAGCCUUAAUGUGAGCUCAUAUCCAAACUCAUCCUGGACCACCUAGCAUGCCAAUGAGAAAAUUCUCGGCAUUAUUACCAUUAAAAAAAAUACUCCACACUUCAAAGGGCAAUCAAACCACAAAGUCUGCACAGCAAGAGCACGCUGAGCACCAGUCAGCCAAAGUGCAACCAGCCCUCUUUUCACUUCCUUCCUUCCAGCUAUUCCUCAAGCCCACCAAUGGGCUGGCACAGCCAGCGCAGCACCGGUGGCGAGGCGUUGUGAACAGAGGGAGCCCAGGGACACCUCACAGAUACACGGCCAGAUUCCAUCUACGUCAGAUGUGAGCAGACAGAAACCAAUAGGCCUUUCCCCAUUGGCACCAGCCUCACCCUGGGAGCAGCAGCCAUCCUGCCCUGCAUAGAGCAGGUGCUGAGCACCCAGCCUCAAGCUGACCUCGUGCUGCUCAGCUCCCUGUCUUAGGCUGUCGGCCUGAGAUUGCAGUGGCCCGCCUGUCCCACGUCCCAUCUCACUGCCCAAAGGGAAGCACAGGAGCAUUGCAGGGCCCGAAGCAGUGAGGUCUCCCACAGGGAAAGGCAGACAGAAUCACAGCCCUUUGUAUUGCUGCGAGGCAGCCCAGGCUCUGAUAGAGCGUCAUGAGGGAGAGGCACGCAAAGAAUGCACCAGAGCAAGAACGUACAAAGCACAGCUUGCUGUGAAAAAAUCCCACAGAAGGCCCUCAUACAAUGGUGACGGUGGGCUUUCUCCAGCACAGCAGUAAGUCUGCAUCAGAACAGCACUGAGCUCUGUGGUGCGGCACCACAGUGCCCACGUUCCUUCCUCAGCCCCUCAACAAGCACAGCUCCCUGCAGGAUGUGGCUUCCCAAGCACAGAGCUCAGCCCCACCAACCCAUAGCACACCCUGCAUACAGCUGAGGUAUAUAAAGUCAUACGGAAAACUGUUUCUGCUUGAGAUGUGCAAUUACGUAGGGCCUGGCUCCAAAGGCACUGCGAAAGAGCAUUUUUCCCCUUGGCUAUCCAAACCAUACCGAUGCUCAUAGAAAGACUCAAACAGAACUGGAACCCUGGAAGCCGAAGCACACCGUUUGCUCACAACCAACACCAGCAAUUGUUUAUUUGAAUGCAUUUUCAUGAGGUGAACGUGACAGAGCUGCCGCUUUCGAGUUCCGGAGCGAGGCUGGCAAACGGCACCGAAGAGGAAUUAAGAAUUACACCGCUAAACUGAGUAUUGUCAUGUAAAUGAAGAACGUCACAUGGGAGCUGCGCAUUGUUCCCAGAGAUAAAUGCAGGAACUAUGGAAGCGAGUUCAAUAGAGUCCUGCCAGUGGGGCACUGGGUUGGGAACUGUCUGGGAGGCUGCCGCAGAGGGUAAGGAUAAAUACACGUAUGCACAGCUGCAGCGUCUGUCGGAGCUGACAACACGACUGCUAAUUGAGAGCUGUUCAUAAAAUUGGCGUCUGAUAUAAAAACAAACAAAACUCAAAAGGAAAACACUUUUGUGGCUCAAGAGAGUUUGCAAAGUUCCAUCUAAACACGCUAUCGCUUCGCUGAACCUACAACAAAACUUCUAUAAAAAGCCAGGUUAGCGAGGCAGAGCUUUCCUACUAGCAGUUGGCAGCCCCGCACAUAGCAGAGGGGUUGAAACCAGAUGAUCGUUGUGGUCCCUUUCAACCCAGGUCAUGCUAUAGUUCUAUGAUUCUAUUCAAUCCAGCCUCUGCUCUGGCAGCGCAGACGGCAGGAAUGGGGGAAGGGCUAAGAGCCCAAAGCAGCCGGCACCGCGGGGGCGCACGGGGCACAGCAACACGAGAAGUGACCCUGUUAUAGGGCUGGGAUGCGGCCCGAGCGCUUGGCACGGCUCUGCCCUCAUCACCCACGGCAGCGUUCCAAAACCGACAGCUAUUGCGGGUGCCAGCAGGGGCGGGUUGGCUCAGACCGAGCCACAGCACAGGGCAGGACACAGGUGGAGCGCGAUGCUGCGGGGCGCAGCGGAAUGCAGCGCAGCUCAGGCAGUCAGCACAAAGGAGGCAAAUCACCAACACGCUUUACUGAAAUAUCAGUUUCUUUAGUAUGUUACAGAAAAGCUUAUGAACAUAGAGAAUGUACAUAAAAGGCAGACUUCGUAAAAUAAAAAGGUCUUUUUGUUUAUAAAAAAUUAAAA